ensembl:snoRNA small nucleolar RNA SNORD94
GGUGUGAUGAUGAUGUGCGCAGGGGUACGGACCUCAGCCGCUGAUGGGGGCUGAGCGCCGCUGCACAUGCUCUGUUUGGACGACAUGUGGUCGACCAGUGGACGAGUGGCGGCGUGAAACAGACGCCUGUCUGAACACC